rnacentral:rRNA from 1 species
GAACGCUGGCGGCAUGCCUAACACAUGCAAGUCGAACGGUAACGCGGAGAGCUUGCUCUCUGGCGACGAGUGGCGGACGGGUGAGUAAUACUUAGGAAUCUGCCCAGUAGUGGGGGACAACCAGGAGAAAUUCUGGCUAAUACCGCAUACGCACUACGGUGGAAAGUGGGGGAUCUUCGGACCUCACGCUAUUGGAUGAGCCUAAGUCGGAUUAGCUUGUUGGUGAGGUAAUAGCUCACCAAGGCGACGAUCCGUAGCUGGUCUGAGAGGACGAUCAGCCACACUGGGACUGAGACACGGCCCAGACUCCUACGGGAGGCAGCAGUGGGGAAUAUUGGACAAUGGGCGCAAGCCUGAUCCAGCAAUGCCGCGUGUGUGAAGAAGGCCUGCGGGUUGUAAAGCACUUUCAGUAGAGAAGAAAAGCCUAGGGUUAAUACCCCUGAGUCUUGACGUAACCUACAGAAGAAGCACCGGCUAACUCCGUG